UACGUAGGGGGCAAGCGUUGUCCGGAAUCAUUGGGCGUAAAGAGCGUGUAGGCGGUCCGGUAAGUCGGUUGUGAAAGUCCAGGGCUCAACCCUGGGAUGCCGACCGAUACUGUCGGACUAGAGUUCGGAAGAGGCGAGUGGAAUUCCCGGUGUAGCGGUGAAAUGCGCAGAUAUCGGGAGGAACACCUAUGGCGAAGGCAGCUCGCUGGGACGUUACUGACGCUGAGACGCGAAAGCGUGGGGAGCUAACAGG
rnacentral:rRNA from 1 species